rnacentral:sRNA from 12 species
ACUGACGUAUUAUCUAACAAUUAAUACACGAAGCCGCCAUUGGCACGGUAUGAUACAGUCGGAGUACAGGAUGACCAGCCCGUAAGCAUAUCGAUAAGUCCCGAGA